rnacentral:tRNA from 5 species
CUCUCGGUGGCCAAGCUGGCUAAGGCGCGAGACUGUAAAUCUUGAGAUCGGGUGUUCGACUCACCCCCGGGAGA